ACUCCUACGGGAGGCAGCAGUGGGGAAUAUUGCACAAUGGGCGCAAGCCUGAUGCAGCCAUGCCGCGUGUAUGAAGAAGGCCUUCGGGUUGUAAAGUACUUUCAGCAGUGAGGAAGGUGGGUAUGUUAAUAGCAUAUUCAUUUGACGUUAGCUGCAGAAGAAGCACCGGCUAACUCCGUGCCAGCAGCCGCGGUAAUACGGAGGGUGCGAGCGUUAAUCGGAAUUACUGGGCGUAAAGCGCAUGCAGGUGGUUUGUUAAGUCAGAUGUGAAAGCCCGGGGCUCAACCUCGGAAUUGCAUUUGAAACUGGCAAACUAGAGUACUGUAGAGGGGGGUAGAAUUUCAGGUGUAGCGGUGAAAUGCGUAGAGAUCUGAAGGAAUACCGGUGGCGAAGGCGGCCCCCUGGACAGAUACUGACACUCAGAUGCGAAAGCGUGGGGAGCAAACAGGAUUAGAUACCCUGGUAGGCUCUAGC
rnacentral:rRNA from 1 species